UUAUUUCUCCUUUUUUUUCUUGCUGGUUCAACGAAGAAAAGUACAACUUCAAUUCUUCCAUCAGUAGCCAAUUGUUUAGAAGUGUUUUUGACUUUUUCCCUAGCAUUCUUGCCCUCUCUUUCCCGUUCUUUCCGUUUCGUUUUCUUUUUGCUUCAGAAGAAGCAUAUUUGCAGAUUUCAUUUUCUUUUCAUGUUAAGCUCUACAUUUUCUCCUUCGUCCCUCCCUCUCUGUUUCCAUUCCUUUGUUUCUCUUUUGUUUUCUUCCUGGAUCGGACAAACAAAAGUACCAACUUAUCUGCUCCAACACCUGGUCAAUAAUUUGACCAUCUUUUCCCCCAAAAUAUGGCCGCUCAUCCAUAUCCCAAUCGUGCUAUUGUUCCAGAAAGAGUCAAUUGUGGCUGCUCAUCCAUAUCCCAACUAUGCGAUUAUUCCACAAAGAGUCAGGAACACAAACACUGCUCACAAAAAAAAUCAACGCUUCUUCCUCAUUUUGCUCUGUAACAUCUCCGAGUAAAGGGGUUUAAUUGCACUUUGAAAGAAUUGGUGCAGAAGAGCCUCUGAUUUAGCGUUCACAGAUUUCAGUUGGGUUUAGUUACGAUUUAAAAGAGUCGGUGCUAAAGAAGCUUUGGUUUGGGGUUGGCAGAUUCAUAUUAAGGAAUUGCUUCAAUUCAAGGAUGGCACCAAGGCAUUCCGAAAAAGGGAAUAAAGGCACAAACUAAGAGAUUGAGAAAAAAAAAACUUACAACCGAAUCUAUUUGCCCCAUCAAUGUCUCUAAUGUAGAUGAAUUACUUGAGAAUGAAGAGGCUGUAAUGAGUAGCUUUCAAGAAGAUCCAGAUUUCGUUUCCGUGCGAGAGUAUUAUGCUUAUAAGCUCCAGAAGCAGAUACAGAUUGGAUCAUAAAAUGUUCAUCAUGCAGACAAGAAGCCAAAGUGGAACUAAGGUGUCGCAUUGGAAUAACAGUGACCGAUCCAACUGCAAGCAUUCAAUGCUUAAUAUCUGGAAAAGAAGCUGAAAGACUGAUACAAUUGACUGCUGCGCAGCUUAAGGAUGCAGAGGCACAUGGAAUAACAAUGAACCAAGAACUCUCUGCCAUCAUGAAAAAGUACAGGUUGAUCUGUUUUAUCAAAACAUAUGAGACAACUUUUCAAGGACAACUUCAAAGAAGAAAUGCAAUCAUCAAAGCCUACCCAACAGCUGAAGUCCCCAACAUAUCAUUGGCUCUAUUAGAUUCACCACCAACUCUCCAAGCUUCAGAAACUGGAACAACAUCAAACACCAAGCAAAAACAAGUCAUAGAACAACAAACGUUCACACCAACAGCCAAGUUGCUCCUUCAAGAAAUAGCCGAAUCCACUGCUACUAAAAAAAGCUUCAUCACUAAAUCAACAACUGCUGCAACAACCAGCCACAAACUGCUUGAAGACACUGCUACCUCAGCUUCACCAAAUACCACCCCAAUCGACGAAACUGCUGCCAGCCCAACAAAGAAACCAAAACAGGAAGGAAAAGGGAAUUGAACACUCCCCAACCCUUACUAAAACCUUUUGAUAUUGCUAGAGAAGAACUUAGCAGGUCUAUCAUGCCUAAAUUGUAGUUUUAGAAUCCAUUGCUCCAAUAUUUUUUGAUAGAGCAAUGCAUUCUAAUACUUAGAAUUAGUACCUCCUCCCUCACCUGCUAACAACUCCUAUUACCAGAACCAUAAACCUGUAAAGCCUAGGUUCAUGACUUUGUCAAGCUGAAAAUGCAGUAUUAGAAUCCAUUGCUCCAAUAUCUUUUGAUAGAGUAGUGCAUUCUAAUACUCAUAUGUCAUAUAAGCUUCUCUAGCAAUCAAUAAUAUGUGCAGUACUUCUAUACGUUCCAAAUGAGCGGUUUACUUUUCAUAUAAGUUAAAAAUUUACAUAUGUUUCUCCAUAUAUCUACUUUAUUGCACUCAUUUAAUUACAAGUUGAAAGUGUUGGUGCAGAAAAGCCUUUUAUUUGGGGUUCACAGAUUUGCACUAAGGAAUUGCUUCAAUUUCAGGUCACUUUCUCCUCUUCCUUGACUACACGCUAUAAUGUUUGUGCUUAAGUUUUGUUAUAUUUCAUCUAUUAUUCAUAAUUUUUUCAGUUGUAGGUUCGUUUGAUCUCACUUAUUAAUUGAACGUAUGCUUUAUACGAUUAUGGUGAGGUUGGCUAAUCAAUAGAUUUAUAUGUACUGGAAGCAAACGAGUAUGAUCAAGGAAGAUCACCUACUUGCUGCAAUCAAAGUUGCUGCUUCUAUCAGGGGACACAACCUAUCACUGCAUGGUUUUGUAAAGAAAGGGAAAUUGCAGGAUGCCCUCACUAGCAUCGACCUUCUAAUCAUUCCUGUUCGAGUUCAUAGGAAACUAGCAAUGACUAAAGAUGACCUUUUUAAUAUCAAUCCUCACAUUGUUAGGACUCUAUGAACGAAUUUCAAAGUGGUGUGCGAAAGCUAUUAUUCGCAUGGUGCCAUUUGGGGCUGCAAUGAACGUCACAUCUUGCCAUCAAACAUUUGGGCUGCAAGGAAUUUCAAAGUGUUUGUAAAGUUACGCACCAUUGUUCUACGAUUCAGUUAAUUUUGUUUUGGUGUUGUCUAGAUAUCUUUAUUAUCAAUAUUUGGUAAUUCAAAGUCCAACAUGCUUGAAUUAGCCAAAGAUUUGAAUUUUUUUUGGUCAUAAUUCUUCUGCAAGCUGUACAAAUUAUUGUAAAACUGUGGAAUUGUAUGUGAUCGAGCUGUACAAAUUAUUGUAAAAAUCUGGAAUCAUACGUGAGUGUGUAUCUUUCUGCAUGAAAGAAACAUUGUGUGCUGUGAGUUAAUUAACUUGAGUUUAUUGUCUUCUUCAU